rnacentral:rRNA from 2 species
UAGCUUAACCUUCGGGGGGGCGCUCACCACUUUGUGGUUCAUGACUGGGGUGAAGUCGUAACAAGGUAGCCCUAGGGGAACCUGGGGCUGGAUCACCUCCUUACCU